UUUGGAAUGACUAUUGUAUACUUUUUUUAAUUAUACUUAUUAUAAAUGCCCUGGUUCUAAUAAGGCAAAUUUGGGUCGUCCUUAUUCUUAACGAUUAUUAUUUGAUAGGAAAACGAUAUCAUUGAUUGUACAUUCUACUCCUUUGAGGAUGAACUCAGGCUCUGUCGCUGUGGACGUGGUUUUUGCCGCACCGCGUUUCUUAAUAAAUAAAAAUAUUGGUGUUGUUGUGUUAGGGGAGGUGAUGCUUGCGAGUUCUUUACGUUGAUCAUGACCACCUGGGGUUCCACUUCCCCAACACAUUGUCAGUUUCCUUCCAGCCCUUCAAGCCGAGGUUCUCAGUCAACCAUUGCACAGCCUUCACAACCCACUCCCCGACUCAAUCACAGUCUUCCCGCUCUCCUUCCAGUAGUCAAGGAGCAAGGAUGAGUAGAAAGGAGUUGCUUUUACGAUCUCUCCUAGUGACUCAAUCAGCAAAUGACGCCUACGUUUCUCUUAUUGAAGAACUUACUGGCUGUAAACUGGAGGAUGAGUAGCUUGCUAAAUGAGGUGAGGCGCCACGCGGAGGCACAUGUGCUGGGCAGGGAACAUAAUACAUGUGUUGGGCAUGUUAUGUAACGUGUAGGAAACAAUGCUAAUUAUGUUGUGUAGGGAACUUGAUCAUCAUGUAUGGAUGUAGAUGUAUCUCUCUAUUUUGUGUAAGAUUUCAUGUUUUGUGGUGUAGGAUGUUUGUUAUCCAUGUAGGUGUUGUGCUUCGCUUUGUGUGG